rnacentral:lncRNA from 1 species
CACCAAGUCUCAACUAUUAGUUUCCUCCAUAGGAUACCUGCCAAAUGACUCACAUCUAUCUAUAUAAACUCUCCUCACUAACUAGAUCUCUUUAAAACACCAUUUUACACCCAACAUUGCCAAAUUGGCCAAAGAACCUUUCUUUCAUUUCUUAGGUUACCUAAAAUAUCUUUUGAUGGCUCUUAGCAUUUCUAUGUGAAAUGUCUCCAACCUCUAUCACUAAAUCCUUUAUCAACAUUGCCAUAAGAAUUUAUUUAUAUCAUGUUAUCACAAAAAGUAGAACCUCGUGUUUUUUUAUAGAUUCUUGUUAUACCUUUACAAUAUCACCCUUAUUGAAC